GUAAUCAAAACCCCAUUAAUUGUGGGCCAGUAUGAAAGAAACAACCUUGAAGGAUUUUCUUUUUUUAGUAAAUUGAAUUUAAAGAACCAAAAAAAAAAAUUCUAGUUCACAAGACGAGAAGACCCUAGAAAUUUGUCUAAUUUCUUAGUUUUUUGGGGAAAAUAAUUAAAAAAAUUUCUAAAAACAUAUAAAGUAUAAACAAUCAAAAAAUAAAUUACCCUAGGGAUAACAGAGCAAUGAUUAUUAAAAGAUCUUAUUCAAAUAUAAGUUUGCGACCUCGAUGUUGGAUUCUCUAGUCCUACAGCUGUAAAAGGCUGAUUAAAAUAAACUGUUCGUUUUUUGAAAAGAG
rnacentral:rRNA from 1 species